GCAGGGGAUGGCUCAGUCGGUUGAGCACGAGACUCUUAAUCUCAAGGUUGUGGGUUUGAGUCCUGUGCUGGGCA